GGCUGAGCCCAGUGCAGUAGUGUUUAUAACCAGUCACAGAUUUCUUUGUUUCUUCUCUACUCUCACUAUUUCAUUUGACUAGCCUUUA
rnacentral:Y_RNA from 1 species